CAUUUUAUAGUUUAAUAUAAAAUUUUAAAUUGCAAAUUUAAAGAUGCUCAUAAAUUUUAAGGGCUAAAAUGU
rnacentral:tRNA from 1 species